CACGCGUAGCCACAGCACCGUCAAAGACCAGCGCCCUCGCCGGCUUUUGCUCGGCCUCGUCGCAAACGCCGUCAGACACAGCGCUGCGCUCAGCCUCACAUGCCCGACCGCUCCUCCACCUCCGGCCUAUAAAAGACGACGCUGAGCUCUCCUUUCCAGCCAGCACAGCUACCUCAUUCCCUCGGUUCCAUCAGAGCAAGGAUUUGCUCGUCACUCUCUUAUUCUGACAAGCUGUUCAUCGUGCUCUUGUAGCCGAGAGUUCGCGAACAAUGACGAGAGGAAGCCUGGAGUCUGGUGCCGCGGGCUAGGAAGUUUGUACCGCAAGCAGAAGCCGGAGUACGUACCGCAAGUACGAGGACUAGUACCGCGAGCCGGAAGUCGAAACGCGUACCGCGAGUUGAAAUACCCGUUUGUUGAGCGAAGGCAAGUUCAAUCCCAUCCUUUGAUGCAUGUUUCUGUCCUAAUUUUUAUAAACACAACCCAAUGGCCUGUUUUAUAAAAUUGCAUAUGUUUUGCUUGCAUGAAAA